rnacentral:lncRNA from 1 species
GAAAAUAAGGAAGAUGGUUUACAAAGCAUCCUACUCAAGUGACCACAGAAGGGAGGCCGUAUAAAUGUUUUCAUCCUCAUUUUUUCCAUGAGCAAAGUAUGAUCUGCCCAUAAUCAAACCCACCAAGAAACAGAGCCUGGACUUGAACUGGCCCUUUCAAUAUCAAGGCCAACACGUUUUUCAAGAUAUCUCUGAAGAUCCGCUGGCAUUCCCCUCCUUCCAGAACCUCCUUAAGGAAGAAACAGAUGGCUGCUCAGAGCCUAGAGUCUGUCGGCUUCCAACUUCAAGGCAGCAAACUUGAUGCCAAUCCCAAACUUCCCUUCCAAGCCAAACAG